GUUAAGCGACUAAGCGUACACGGUGGAUGCCCUGGCAGUCAGAGGCGAUGAAGGACGUGCUAAUCUGCGAUAAGCGUCGGUAAGGUGAUAUGAACCGUUAUAACCGGCGAUUUCCGAAUGGGGAAACCCAGUGUGAUUCGUCACACUAUCAUUAACUGAAUCCAUAGGUUAAUGAGGCGAACCGGGGGAACUGAAACAUCUAAGUACCCCGAGGAAAAGAAAUCAACCGAGAUUCCCCCAGUAGCGGCGAGCGAACGGGGAGCAGCCCAGAGCCUGAAUCAGUGUGUGUGUUAGUGGAAGCGUCUGGAAAGGCGCGCGAUACAGGGUGACAGCCCCGUACACAAAAAUGCAUAUACUGUGAGCUCGAUGAGUAGGGCGGGACACGUGGUAUCCUGUCUGAA
rnacentral:rRNA from 1 species